rnacentral:rRNA from 1 species
GACGAACGCUGGCGGCGUGCCUAAUACAUGCAAGUAGAACGCACAGUUUAUACCGUAGCUUGCUACACCAUAGACUGUGAGUUGCGAACGGGUGAGUAACGCGUAGGUAACCUGCCUGGUAGCGGGGGAUAACUAUUGGAAACGAUAGCUAAUACCGCAUAAUAUUAAUUAUUGCAUGAUAAUUAAUUGAAAGGUGCAAUUGCACCACUACCAGAUGGACCUGCGUUGUAUUAGCUAGUAGGUGAGGUAACGGCUCACCUAGGCGACGAUACAUAGCCGACCUGAGAGGGUGAUCGGCCACACUGGGACUGAGACACGGCCCAGACUCCUACGGGAGGCAGCAGUAGGGAAUCUUCGGCAAUGGACGAAAGUCUGACCGAGCAACGCCGCGUGAGUGAAGAAGGUUUUCGGAUCGUAGAGCUCUGUUGUAAGAGAAGAACGGGUGUGAGAGUGGAAAGUUCACACUGUGACGGUAUCUUACCAGAAAGGGACGGCUAACUACGUG